AUUGAACGCUGGCGGCAGGCCUAACACAUGCAAGUCGAACGAGUGGCGGACGGGUGGGUAAUGUCUGGGAAACUGCCUGAUGUCGGGGGAUGAAUACUGGAAACGGUCGCUAAUUCAGCAUACCAGUAGAGGUGCCCAGAUGGGAGUAGCUUGUUGGUGGGGGAACGGCUCACCACGGCGACGGGCCCUAGCGGGUCGCAGGGGAUGACCAGCCAACCUGGAACAGUGACACUGUCCGGCCGCCUACGAGAGUCAGCAGUGGGGAAGAUUGCGCAAUUGGAGCAAGCCUGAUGCAGCCAUGCCGCGUGUAUGCGGAAGGCCUUCGGGUUGUAAAGUACUUUCAGCGGGGAGGCGUUACCCGCAGAAGAAGCACCGGCUAACUCCGUGCCAGCAGCCGCGGUAAUAC
rnacentral:rRNA from 1 species